CCCUAACGCGCACACACACACACACACACACACACACACACACACACACACACACACACACACACACACACACACACACACACACACACACACACACACACACACACACACACACACACACACACACACACACACACUCUCUCUCUCUGUGUGAAUGCUGUACCCUGCCACAGGACUAGAGUACAGACAGCCUGUUUGUCUUUGGGUUGACCUGAUGCCACUGCCAGCAGAAAUGUCUCCUCCUCUCUUCCUGUCUGUCUGCUCCACCCGCAUUAUAAAAGCCAGCAGGUUGCAGGACAAACACACAGUUUGGGAUUAACUGUCUCUCUCUCAGCCCACCCGGGUCACUUCAGCUCACUGACGAGACUAGAGAACCACACUAGUACAGCUUGUAUCCUGUCUAAAUUGUGCAGAGCCGUGCCUCCCCACCGGAGACUGGGGUUCAAUCCCCUCUCUCUCUUUUUGACUUUCUUUUUUUUUUUUUCUAUUGUGUUAUUGUAUGUUUGUUUUACUCCAUGUGUCACUCUGUGUUGUUGUUUGUGUUGCACUGCUUUGCUUUAUCUUGACCAGGUCGCAGCUGUAAAUGAGAACUUGUUCUCAACUAGCUUACCUGGUUAAAUAAAGGUGAAAUAAAAAAAAUAAUUCUCACUUUAUCUCCUUCUAUAUUCAGUAUAUACCUGUCUAUUAAACCAUAUAAAAAUACUAAAGGUUGAGUGGAAGAAGUAGCAUUAAUAACCCAAUGUUUCCCCCCUAGAUUGUCUCACGUUCCCCCAACUUCCACGUCUCGUUGUCGCUCGGUUAUUUUUCAGAACGAUCGUGAGAAGGUCUAGAAAUCGAGGUCACUUCCUGAUGCUACCAACCAGGGCUCUAUGGAUCAGCUGAGAUGGAGGUCACCACUAAAUAAAAGUUUAGUUCUGUCACAGAUUUUUCUUUUAUUUUUUUAUCCCAUCAAGGUGGUUGGGAACCACUGGUCUAGCCAGUUAACUAAACCUGUAGUAAUCGUGGCUGAAAACAGACCGGGUACACCGGGCUCAUGCCCAGGGACCAUGAUCCUCCAGGGGGUACGACUCCAAAUGAGGAAAGUGUUCCUAAUGUUUUGUACACUCCGUGUAUAUGCGUAUUUGGUGUGGCUCACAGAUGGAAAACAUUACAGAUGACUGUGGCGAAUGGGAGCUGUUUAAUAUUCUUGAUGUAACAUGUCCUUGGUUCAGUUCAGAUCAGCCUUUUCUUUUCCCUGAAGGCAGGGAGUGGAGGGAGGUCUGGCAAUCUUGGCACGGCCCACAGUGGUGUCAUCAUACCUACCCAGCCUUGUGAUCCUAGGUUGGCAAAGGAAGGUCAGCUUCUCAGUUAGCAGUUUUAUCUAUGAAAAAAAGAUUGUAGUCAGAGUAAAGUAUAACUGGGGAGGCAGGGUAGCCUAGUGGUUAGAGUGUUGGACUAGUAACCGAAAGUUUGCAAGUUUGAAUCCCCGAGCUCACUAGGUACAAGUCUGUCGUACAAUGACGACUGUUCCUAGGUCGUCAUUGUAAAUAAGAAUUUGUUCUUAACUGACUUGCCAAGUUAAAUAAAGGUUAAAAAUAAAAAAUUAAAUAAAUGCAGUUAUUCUGCAAUUACUAUGUCCAAAAUAAAUUGUAGUUACAAAACUGCAAUGAUUUUCUUUAGCCAAAAAGUUGGCUAACGUUAACUAUUAUUUUUGCCUCAAUCACACUACACCUUAAUCACCUUAAUCACCUUAAUCAAACGAUGAAUCCAGCGGUCAAACGAUUGAAGACCGGGUGGCAGGUAGCCUGGUGGUUAGAGUGUAGAGGUGGCAGGUAGCCUGGUGGUUAGAGUGUAGAGGUGGCAGGUAGCCUGGUGGUUAGAGUGUAGAGGUGGCAGGGUAGCCUGGUGGUUAGAGUGUAGAGGUGGCAGGGUAGCCUGGUGGUUAGAGUGUAGAGGUGGCAGGUAGCCUGGUGGUUAGAGUGUAGAGGCGGCAGGGUAGCCUAGUGGUUAGAGUGUAGAGGUGGCAGGGUAGCCUGGUGGUUAGCGUUUAGAGGUGGCAGGUUCUGGUGGUUAGAACUUUGGACUGGUAACCGAAAUGGUUGCAAGAUCAAAUCGCUGAGCUGACAAGGUACAAAUCUGUCAUUCUACCCCCUGAACAAGGCAGUUAAACCCACUGUUCCUAGGCCGUCAUUGAAAACUGACUUCCCGAAGUUUAAAAAAGACUGAUAUUCUGACAUUUUUUGAAAGCGCAAUGUCAGUUUUUAUUAGAGUCAGUAUAUCAAUGUAACGUUAUUGAUCUGUUUCCCUAGGUAAUUCCCUACUUUUCACACUGACACGGUAUAAACAGCUCUACAGGCUUCACUGUCAUGGUGCACAACACUAUGCUCAUCAUGUCUUAGCAGGAUCAGAUGGUGAGAGGUGUCCCAGCAGGGUCAGACAGCCAGGGAAGACCAGCCUACAGAGUUCACGUGAAUUUAUAUAUAUUAUAACAAUCAGUGAAUGGUUACAAAGUUCCAUCUUGAUUUGAUGGCUAGACCUUCAGUACAGUAGCUACAGGACAGCAUCUUAAAGCUACAGUACGAGAUCUGGGAAUUUUGGGAAUUUCAAUUAUUGAACCAUUGAUUGGAUAAUCCCAAUCAACCUAUACCAAUGGACACCAAGAUCAUUCUUCGUCGUGGAAAUUAUAGGCAAUUAGGAAGACACCCCCAAUAAAGGAGUGGUUCUGCAGCUGGUGACCACAGACCACUUCUCAGUUCCUAUGCUGAUGUUUUGGUCACUUUUGAAUGCUGGCGGUGCUUUCACUCUAGUGGUAGCAUGAGACGGAGUCUACAACCCACACAAGUGGCUCAGGUAGUGCAGCUCAUCCAGGAUGGCACAACAAUGCGAGCUGUGACAAGAAGGUUUGCUGUGUCUGUCAGCAUACUGUCCAGAGCAUGGAGGCGCUACCAGGAGACAGGCCAGUACAUCAGGAGACGUGGAGGAGGCCGUAGGAGGGCAACAACCCAGCAGCAGGACCGCUACCUCCGCAUUUGUGCAAGGAGGAGCAGGAGGAGCACUGCCAGAGCCCUGCAAAAUGACCUCCAGCAGGACACAAAUGUGCAUGUGUCUGCUCAAACGGUCAGAAACAGACUCCAUGUGGGUGGUAUGAGGGCCCGACGUCCACAGGUGAGGGUUGUGCUUACAGCCCAACACCGUGCAGGACGUUUGGCAUUUGCCAGAGAACACCAAGAUUGGCAAAUUUGCCACUGGCGCCCUGUGCUCUUCACAGAUGAAAGCAGGUUCACACUGAGCACAUGUGACAGACGUGACAGAGUCUGGAGACGCCGUGGAGAACGUUCUGCUGCCUGCAACAUCCUCCAGCAUGACCGGUUUGGCGGUUUGUCAGUCAUGUGUGGGGUGGCAUUUUUUUGGGGGGCCGCACAGCACUCCAUGUGCUCGCCAGAGGUAGCCUGACUGCCAUUAGGCAGGGUAUACUGGAUGUAUCACUAGGUUUGAUUCAUUACCAGACUAAGGGUAUACUGGAUGUAUCACUAGGUUUGAUUCAUUACCAGACUAAGGGUAUACUGGAUGUAUCACUAGGUUUGAUUCAUUACCAGACUAAGGGUAUACUGGAUGUAUCACUAGGUUUGAUUCAUUACCAGACUAAGGGUAUACUGGAUGUAUCACUAGGUUUGAUUCAUUACCAGACUACGGGUAUACUGGAUGUAUCACUAGGUUUGAUUCAUUACCAGACUACGGGUAUACUGGAUGUAUCACUAGGUUUGAUUCAUUACCAGACUACGGGUAUACUGGAUGUAUCACUAGGUUUGAUUCAUUACCAGACUACGGGUAUACUGGAUGUAUCACUAGGUUUGAUUCAUUACCAGACUAAGGGUAUACUGGAUGUAUCACUAGGUUUGAUUCAUUACCAGACUAAGGGUAUACUGGAUGUAUCACUAGGUUUGAUUCAUUACCAGACUAAGGGUAUACUGGAUGUAUCACUAGGUUUGAUUCAUUACCAGACUACGGGUAUACUGGAUGUAUCACUAGGUUUGAUUCAUUACCAGACUAAGGGUAUACUGGAUGUAUCACUAGGUUUGAUUCAUUACCAGACUAAGGGUAUACUGGAUGUAUCACUAGGUUUGAUUCAUUACCAGACUAAGGGUAUACUGGAUGUAUCACUAGGU